rnacentral:rRNA from 1 species
GCGACGGCCACACCGCCUGGAUUCACGCCCCGAUCUCGUUUGAUCUCGGAAGCUAAGGUAGGUUGGGCCUGGUUAGUACUUGGAUGGGAGACCGCCUGGGAAUACCAGGUGCUGUAAGCU